UAUGCAUAGGAUCUACCUAGUAGUAUAGGAUAGCCACUAGAAAUGGUGGGUAAUACUGUAUAAUCCCUGCGGGGGAAAGAUUUAUCGCUACAUGAUGAGCCUAUGUUAGAUUAGCUAGUUGGUGGGGUAAUGGCCUACCAAGGCAGUGAUCUAUAGCUGGUCUGAGAGGAUGAUCAGCCACACUGGAACUGAGACACGGUCCAGACUCCUACGGGAGGCAGCAGUGGGGAAUAUUGGACAAUGGGCGCAAGCCUGAUCCAGCUAUGCCGCGUGAGUGAGGAAGGCCUUAGGGUUGUAAAACUCUUUCAGUGGGGAAGAUAAUGACGGUACCCACAGAAGAAGUCCCGGCAAACUCCGUGCCAGCAGCCGCGGUAAUACGGAGGGGGCAAGCGUUGUUCGGAAUUAUUGGGCGUAAAGGGCAUGUAGGUGGUUUGGUAAGUUAAAGGUGAAAUGCCAGGGCUUAACCCUGGAGCUGCUUUUAAUACUGCCAGACUGGAGUCCCGGGAGAA
rnacentral:rRNA from 1 species